UGAACCUCAACAACGACCCCUACUUUUCUGGGCCCUAAUUUAUUCAAAGAACACUACAUGUCACAUGAAUUCAAAAUUACUUCUCUGGAGAUAUUCUCCAUGUUUGAUGGCCAUGACCGAGGUUUGAUGUUUUUGUAUUUGCUGGGAUUUGAUAGGACCAGGAGUCCAGGACCAUGAUACUCGUAGUAUUGUUCCAUGGCACCGACAGGCCUAUUGUUUGCUGCUUGUGAUGAUUGACAGAGGUUUUGGGUCUAUGUUUAAGCCUCGGUGAGGUUUUGGGUCUCUGUUUAAUCCUUGGUUCAUGAGGAUCCAUAUAUAGUGAAACAUAUCACAUGCUCAGCAAGAAAACAAAGUCUCAGCCUACUACCUGCAAGACUUUAGUCUUUAAUGACUAAAUGAACGGAUCACAUGAUACAUAGAUGGGGAAUGCCAUUGCUCAAAGGCGAGCAUACGUGACCUUGUUGAAGGAGUUUUGCCCUCCGUUUGUGUCUCAAAUGUCGAUGAUGCCCUCUGUGCUAUCACUCGCAUGUCCUUUUUAUUUUGUUUAUUCAGCGAAUGUUGGAUUAGACAAGGAUUUAUUCACGUUGGAUCUGUACAACUAUGGACUAUUCAUGCAAUUUUUUAUUCAAACUUUGAAAUGAGAGAAUUGGAUGCUGGGUUGUUGCAUGUUUUU